rnacentral:lncRNA from 1 species
CCAUUUUGUCAUAUGUCGGUUCAUGCGGUUGGAUGCAAGGAUGCCCACCUGCUUUGGUGAACAGCUUUAGCUUCAGCCGUCAGGUCGGAAUUCACGCCGCCUUUUCGAAGGGACCAAAGAGGCCUCCUCGUGGCUCAUGCUUCGAACCAUGGAGGGACCGACAGCCGGGUGAAGUUCCGCUUCCCUGCAGACGAGAGCGGGUAAGACAUUCUACUCAAGUGACUAGACCACACGGCCGCUUCCAGAACCGUCUUCCUCGACGUGCUUGUUCAUCAAGUUCGUCUCAACGGUUCCGAAGAAUGGCUACGGCAAAUUUAUCAA